CCCAGAAGUUUCUGUAGGUUGUACACAAGCGAUAGGAGGUGAACAAAUCUCCAAAUUUGACUGGCUGUGGAGACUUGUCUGAGAUGUUUUUUCAAGAAACAUGGCGGAGUAACAACAAGGACAACAGAGCUGAUCAGCUAUUAACAGUUAUUACAAGUUGAGGAAGAACGGAAGUAUGGUGUGACAGCUGAAGAGAGGCAGGAAAUGUUGGUAGAAGAGAGUGUGGGAUGCCGUGGAGAAAAGGGCCAAAAACGGAUUUGAGCUGCUGAGACAUAAACGCUAGGCUAUCUGCUCUCCCUGUCCAUGAUGUUUUAUGUGCUUGAUUUAUUUGACUGUCAACUGUAUUCAAUCUUGGUCUUAUUUGUUUUAUGCUACAUUGUUGUUUUUAUUUUCAUGGUUUAAGAUUGUAUUGUUGUGUAUUUUACUGUUGAAAUUUUUUACAUUUUAAAAAGCACUUUGUGAAAUUGGUUUUGAUAAGUGCUUAUAAAUAAACCUUAUUAUUAUUAUUAUUACUUAAGUUUUCAAUUCACUGUUUAUUUUUUCUAAUGAAUAAUUAAACCAUUUAUUAUUAAUUUACAAUUGUAUUACACUGGUCCAAGAAAGAGGGGAAAUAAUUAAGCAUUAUUAAAACAAUGAGCAUUAGCGUGGACUAAUUGGAUUUUUACUGUUAAUUUGUUCUUGGUCUUUUCACAUGGCUGAUCUGAUACUGCUGUCUGAAGGUCUGCUGAUCUGGAAAUGAGAGGAGGAAAUUUGAUUAAUGGAUUCAGCCUGAAUCCAUUUGAAAAAGCACAGCGAGCCAUAUCAUGUUUCUGUCCGAUUUCUUUUUUUUUUUUAAGGAGGGGGGAGUGGGGGUGUUGUGUAACAGGAUGAUGUAAUCCAUCUAAUAAUUGAACAUUUCCGGCUUUAUUCUGUCCUGUUGUCUGUUCUGAUGUGAUGCACCUGGUCAGGCAGUGACUGAAAAUAAAUCUUAUUGGAGCUGU